CCUACGGGCGGCUGCAGUGAGGAAUAUUGGUCAAUGGCCGGAAGGCUGAACCAGCCAAGCCGCGUGAAGGACGAAGGUGCCAAGCAUUGUAAACUUCUUUUGUCAAGGGACAAAAUCAGGCUCGAGAGCCUGACCGAGGGUACUGGAAGAAAAAGCAUCGGCUAACUCCGUGCCAGCAGCCGCGGUAAUACGGAGGAUGCGAGCGUUAUCCGGAUUUAUUGGGUUUAAAGGGUGCGUAGGCGGACUGUUAAGUCAGCGGUAAAAGCCCGGGGCUCAACCCCGGCGAGCCGUUGAAACUGGCGGUCUUGAGAUGUCGAGAGGUAUGCGGAAUGCGCAGUGUAGCGGUGAAAUGCUUAGAUAUUGCGAAGAACUCCGAUUGCGAAGGCAGCAUACCGGCGGCGAUCUGACGCUGAGGCACGAAAGCGUGGGUAUCGAACAGGAUUAGAUACCCGUGUAGUC
rnacentral:rRNA from 1 species